rnacentral:rRNA from 1 species
ACGCUAGCGAUAGGCUUAACACAUGCAAGUCGAGGGGCAGCAUGGUCUUAGCUUGCUAAGACUGAUGGCGACCGGCGCACGGGUGCGUAACGCGUAUGCAACUUGCCUCACAGAGGGGGAUAACCCGUCGAAAGACGGACUAAUACCGCGUACACUCCACUUUGGGCAUCCAAAGUAGAGGAAAUGAAAUUCGCUGUGAGAUAGGCAUGCGUCCCAUUAGCUAGUUGGUGAGGUAACGGCUCACCAAGGCGACGAUGGGUAGGGGAACUGAGAGGUUGAACCCCCACACUGGUACUGAGACACGGACCAGACUCCUACGGGAGGCAGCAGUGAGGAAUAUUGGUCAAUGGGCGAGAGCCUGAACCAGCCAAGUCGCGUGAAGGAUGACUGUCUUAUGGAUUGUAAACUUCUUUUAUACGGGAAUAACAAGAGUCACGUGUGGCUCCCUGCAUGUACCGUAUGAAUAAGCAUCGGCUAACUCCGUGCCAGCAGCCGCGGUAAUACGGAGGAUGCGGGCGUUAUCCGGAUUUAUUGGGUUUAAAGGGUGCGUAGACGGCCUGUUAAGUCAGCGGUGAAAUCUAGGAGCUUAACUCCUAAAUUGCCAUUGAUACUGGCGGGCUUGAGUGUAGAUGAGGUAGGCGGAAUGCGUGGUGUAGCGGUGGAAUGCAUAGAUAUCACGCAGAACUCCGAUUGCGAAGGCAGCUUACUAAGGUACAACUGACGCUGAAGCACGAAAGCGUGGGUAUCAAACAGGAUUAGAUACCCUGGUAGUCCACGCAGUAAACGAUGAUAACUGGGCGUAUGCGAUAUACAGUAUGCUCCUAAGCGAAAGCGUUAAGUUAUCCACCUGGGGAGUACGCCGGCAACGGUGAAACUCAAAGGAAUUGACGGGGGCCCGCACAAGCGG